rnacentral:snoRNA from 1 species
UUGCAAACUCGAUCACUGGCUCUGCAUGAUGUGGCAGAAGCAAGGGGAACAGGUUUGCGAAAUUAAAUGUGGUACAAGAAGCAUAUUUGUCUUAGAAAUAAUACUUAGGCUAUUUAUUCUGUACCACAACAUAA